rnacentral:misc_RNA from 1 species
GAUGAAGAACGUAGCGAAAUGCGAUACUUGGUGUGAAUUGCAGAAUCCCGUGAACCAUCGAGUCUUUGAACGCAAGUUGCGCCCGAAGCCAUUAGGCCGAGGGCACGCCUGCCUGGGCGUCACACGUCGUUGCCCCCCCCAUCUACUCCUUCGGGAUUGCGGGGGGCGGAUGAUGGCCUCCCGUGUGCCUCGCCGCGCGGUUGGCAUAAAUGCCAAGUCCUCGGCGACGCACGCCACGACAAUCGGUGGUUGCGAAACCUCGGUUGCCCGUCGUGUGCGGUCGUCGCGCAUCGAGGGCUCGAAAAAAUUGCCGGGUUCCGGCUCGGCUUUCAACGCGACCCCAGGUCAGGCGGGGUUACCCGCUGAACUUAAGCAUAUCAAUAAGCGGAGGA